rnacentral:rRNA from 1 species
GACGAACGCUGGCGGCGUGCUUAACACAUGCAAGUCGAACGGAAAGGCCCUGCUUUUGUGGGGUGCUCGAGUGGCGAACGGGUGAGUAACACGUGAGUAACCUGCCCUUGACUUUGGGAUAACUUCAGGAAACUGGGGCUAAUACCGGAUAGGAGCUCCUGCUGCAUGGUGGGGGUUGGAAAGUUUCGGCGGUUGGGGAUGGACUCGCGGCUUAUCAGCUUGUUGGUGGGGUAGUGGCUUACCAAGGCUUUGACGGGUAGCCGGCCUGAGAGGGUGACCGGCCACAUUGGGACUGAGAUACGGCCAAGACUCAUACGGGAGGCAGCAGUGGGGAAUAUUGCAAAAAGGGCGGAAGCCGGAUGCAGCAACGCCGGGUGCGGGAUGACGGCCUUAGGGUUGUAAACCGCUUUCGCCUGUGACGAAGAGUGAGUGACGGUAAUGGGUAAAGAAGCACCGGCUAACUACGUG